rnacentral:lncRNA from 1 species
CCAGCAAGCAAAGUUAUGCCACCUUUUUCUACCCACUUUGUUCCAGCCCCGCUGGCAGCUGAUUGGAUGGUGCCCUCCCACACUGAGGCACAUUGAGGUGGACAUCCUAGUCCACCGACUCAAAUGUCAAUCUCCUCUGGCAACACCCUCACAGACACACCCAGAAACCAUACCAGCAACCAAGGGAGCCUUCCAACCACUCAAGUUGAUGCCUAUUAUUAACCGUCACAAGAGGUUCCACGAGUGGCAAAGCUGGCUUGAAGGGUUUGGUGAAGCUACUGCCUUUUUCCCUGAGCCGAGAUCCUGGAAUUCCCUGGGUUGAGGAGAAGGU